rnacentral:rRNA from 1 species
ACACUCCUGCGGGAGGCAGCAGUGGGGAAUUUUGGACAAUGGGCGAAAGCCUGAUCCAGCAAUGCCGCGUGAGUGAAGAAGGCCUUCGGGUUGUAAAGCUCUUUUGUCAGGGAAGAAACGGUGAAAGCUAAUAUCUUUUGCUAAUGACGGUACCUGAAGAAUAAGCACCGGCUAACUACGUGCCAGCAGCCGCGGUAAUACGUAGGGUGCAAGCGUUAAUCGGAAUUACUGGGCGUAAAGCGUGCGCAGGCGGUUUUGUAAGUCUGAUGUGAAAUCCCCGGGCUCAACCUGGGAAUUGCAUUGGAGACUGCAAGGCUAUAAUCUGGCAGAGGGGGGUAGAAUUCCACGUGUAGCAGUGAAAUGCGUAGAUAUGUGGAGGAACACCGAUGGCGAAGGCAGCCCCCUGGGUCAAGAUUGACGCUCAUGCACGAAAGCGUGGGGAGCAAACAGGAUUAGAAACCCGUGUAGUCCCAUG